GACGAACCGUGCGAACGUUAUUCGGAAUCACUGGGCUUAAAGCGCGUGUAGGCGGCCCGGCACGUCCGUCGCUGAAAUCCCCCGGCUCAACCGGGGAAGGGGCGUGGAUACGGCCGGGCUGGAGGGGGGUAGGGGGAGCCGGAACUUCCGGUGGAGCGGUGAAAUGCGUUGAGAUCGGAAGGAACGCCCGUGGCGAAAGCGGGCUCCUGGACCCCACCUGACGCUGAGGCACGAAGGUCAGGGGAGCAAACGGG
rnacentral:rRNA from 1 species